rnacentral:rRNA from 1 species
AUUGAACGCUGGCGGCAUGAUUUACACAUGCAAGUCGAACGGUAACAGGCCGCAAGGUGCUGACGAGUGGCGAACGGGUGAGUAAUGCAUCGGAACGUGCCCAGUCGUGGGGGAUAACUACUCGAAAGAGUAGCUAAUACCGCAUACGAUCUUUGGAUGAAAGCGGGGGACCGUAAGGCCUCGCGCGAUUGGAGCGGCCGAUGUCAGAUUAGGUAGUUGGUGGGGUAAAGGCUCACCAAGCCAACGAUCUGUAGCUGGUCUGAGAGGACGACCAGCCACACUGGGACUGAGACACGGCCCAGACUCCUACGGGAGGCAGCAGUGGGGAAUUUUGGACAAUGGGCGCAAGCCUGAUCCAGCAAUGCCGCGUGCAGGAAGAAGGCCUUCGGGUUGUAAACUGCUUUUGUACGGAACGAAACGGCUCUGGUUAAUACCCGGGGCUAAUGACGGUACCGUAAGAAUAAGCACCGGCUAACUACGUG